AAUUGCAUCUAAACCAUACGCCGUAUCGCCGAAACCCUCCCCCAAAACCAUAAAGCGAGUGAAUAGCAUCGAAGUUGGGGGCAACUGGAGGACAGAGGCGCUUGUUUGCGAAAUAAAUGAACAAACUGCCGCAGUUCCCAUUCCAGUUUGCCGAGUUCGCUGUUUACCAAACGGCAGAGUGCAGAGAGUGCUGUUUGCAUUGGCUGAUGAGCCCUAACCUACGACAACAGGCCAAAAUUAUAUGGCUGAAUUGACUCCACUUGAACCGUGACGCGAACGAGGCAAAGCUAUCGAAAAAUAAAGUUCAAAACAAAACCUGGUUAUAAUAAAAAAUAUGAAAGUCAGUUACAAUAAAAACGGAAAAUCUACUCCAGCUGGAGCGUUAAUUCGUGCAGAGUCGUGCAGUGCCACGCUCGACCCGACUAGUGGUUGUUGGACACGAGGAAGCGGACCAAGAAGUGUAACAGGAGGCUAUAAUGCAACAAAAAUAAACUGCCUAUUGAAGAUAUUGGCGCCAUCGCGCCUUUUGGUGAUGAUGAUGGAAUACGGAACAAUCGAACCAGAGCGACAGGUUGGUUGAACCAACUGGCGUCGAGCGGAUCAGCUGUCGAAGCGGCGCAACUAGCGGUGUGCGCCAUUUUUCGCGCGACGCAAACAGUCGUCUCCAUCGCCCGGGAAGUAGGUCACUGUCGUCGCGCCAUUGAAAUGCCGGUGUGUUGUGUGUGCUGUUCGAUGCGGCUGCUGCUGUGUCUGGCGGCACGGCACGAUGUGAGUGGUGGUAAGUGAAUUGAAUUAGCCGACCGUGGCUAAUAGCUAACAAAUGACACUAUCGUGAUGAAGAAGAGGAGGUUACCAUCCAGAGGGCGAUGGUGGUGAUGGCCACCGGUAUUAUCGUCGUGAUGACGAACGCCCUCCGCACUCACAGGAGUGUGUGCGAUGGUGUGCCGGUGGCGGUGCUGUCUGGACGGAUUGCAUCGCAUGCACGGUGGGACAAUGGAUGACCAUGAAAGCGGUUAAAUUCAUCUUUGUCGCGCCGGCCGCGGUAUUAGAAGCAAUGGAAGCGAAACCGAACCAUUGAGUCUAGGAUAUCAAUAGCUUGCAUUUACGUGCCGUACUGUUUGCUUCCGUGAAAUUGUCCCAUCUGACAAAGCGGAACCGAUACGGGAAGAGAAAAAAAGAUGUUCAGUAAAAGUGCUUAUACUCUACCUGUUAUCUUUUUUUCACACUUCAAGAAAAACAGAAAAAAAUAAUAAAGCUAUUAUAAUUUCAAUGAA